CACGGGGGGAGCAAGCGUUGUUCGGAAUCACUGGGCGUAAAGGGCGUGUAGGCGGUCAGGUAAGUGGGAUGUGAAAUGCCCCGGCUCACCCGGGGACCGGCAUCCCAUACUGCUUGGCUUGAGUACGGGAGAGGAUGUGGGAAUUCCUGGUGUAGCGGUGAAAUGCGUGGAUAUCAGGAGGAACACCGGUGGCGAAGGCGCACAUCUGGCCCGAUACUGACGCUGAGGCGCGAAAGCUAGGGGAGCAAACGGG
rnacentral:rRNA from 1 species